UACGUAGGCAGCAAGCGUUGUUCGGAGUUACUGGGCGUAAAGGGUGUGUAGGCGGUUGUUUAAGUUUGGUGUGAAAUCUCCCGGCUCAACUGGGAGGGUGCGCCGAAUACUGAAUGACUUGGAGUGCGGGAGAGGAAAGUGGAAUUCCCGUGGUGAGCGGUGAAAUGCGUAGAUAUCAGGAGGAACACCGGUGGUGUAGACGGCUUUCUGGACCGUAACUGACGCUGAGACACGAAAGCGUGGGGAGCAAACAGG
rnacentral:rRNA from 1 species